UUGUAAUUGCAAGGCUUAUCACUGGUAUACAGAUCACCCAUGGUCCAGACACUGCAGCAGAGAGCAGCAUUAGUAUCUCCCUGAGAGUCGGUCUCCUCAGUCUACUCUUUUCUAAUUUCUUCGCUGGAAUUACAGCCUGCAUCAUGCCAGUCCACCCCCUGGCAGGAUCUGUUAGAGCUGAUGGUCACAGUAAAAUUGUGCAACCGAACAUCUGGCACCAAAACGACAGUCAUAUCCUUUUGGACACACAUCUCCCUUGGGUGUUGCCCUCUCCAUUGCUCACCUGGAAAACAUCACUGCUGCAUUCCCACAACGUUCCCACAGCGUCGGGAGGAACAGGUGGUGUCGGCGGUGCAAUGAGCCCCUGGGGCUGUGACAUCACUGCUUCGUGGCUUCCUGCUCUGCACCAAUCCUGCUCUCUCACCAGGGGGCGCCCAUCAGAGAAAUGCGGCUGAAGUCGUCCGAAACGCAUUUUGUCUCACGUCGUCAUUUUAUAAAAAUAGCGUCCCCCUGCCAGCCAAUCAACAGUAGGCUAACCAGGAGGGAGUCGAAACUCAACCUAGGGGACUGGAGCAGUCAGUCUAUACGUGGGCUGAGGGGCAGCCAAGCGCAGCUCAUGAGAGCGGAGUCUGACUGGGAACAAAGGUUUUGCAGACCUUGCGGCGGAGGGAAGUUUAGCUCAGCAUGAGGGGUGUCGCAGACACGAACGCCUUCCUGCGUUCUCCACCUUCCUCAUGCGACACGAAUAAACACACGAGCAAGACAUCCUUGUUCCUCCAGAUGCCAGUGUAAGAACAAUAGGGAGGAAGACUCUGGGGGUCUGAAGGGGGCCCAGCCAUCCCAGAAAGCACCUGGGACCUGUGCACAGUGUGACACGGUAUCCAAGAAUCACGUGAGGCUCAAAGCGGGCACGCAAACGCGUGAAUAAAUAAAAAAAUAACCUCUUUCUGCA